AGAGCUAAAAGUGAUGUUCGGCAGAGAUUCAAGUGAAGAUCUCCGGAGCCUAUAGUGAUCUUCUUAAGAGCUAAAAUGAUGUUCUGCAGAGCUAAAUAUGAUAUUAUCUUCAGAGCAUCGUUAAGUUCCAUAUUCAACCACGUCCAGUUACACUUACAGGAACCAUAAGCGCUAUGUUUACCUAGUAAUACUCUUCUUGAUCUGUUUAAAGAAACCACUGUAGAUAUCAUACUAUUUUUGUUGUCCAUUUAAAUUAUAAGGAUUGACUGUUUAUUUUGGGGCUCAUUCAAGCAUGAGUCUAAAAACCGAUAUGCAAACCAUUGUUAGAUCCCGCUACACAGUCAACAAUUAAGACAAUCGAUACUUUGAUAAAUAUUCACAUACAAGUGCUCACGUGUGUAUGUGAUGCUGAAUAUAUUGUUAUGGGUUUAAGAACGUUUUACAGAAAUGAUUACCUUGAACAUUUCUUUUCAUGCGUAGUUUGACUUAAUGAACUUCAUGGAGCCAGAUAAAACAUUGAACACACA